rnacentral:lncRNA from 1 species
GAAGAACCACAGCAGAAGAAGGGAAGACUCGGCCGAAAUCGUCACCGGGUGAUGCCAGAGCCUCUGCCACUGUCGCGUCACACAGAAGCCGACCAAAUCGUUCUGAACCUAAAGAAAAGUACAACAACAAACCAGCAACACUAAUGUUGGUGGCGACGUUGAUCGCCACCAUCACAUUCGCAGCUGGGCUGAACCCCCCUGGUGGGUUUAAGCAGAAAGAUGAUGGUGGGUCGACUCCCCCCAUUGCAGAAGUCAAUUUUGAUGAGAGUUCAAGUGAAGGGGAGGCAGUUCUAAAAGAUGAUCUCGAGUUAUUCCUACUGUUCGACAUGUUCGGGUUGUUUGCAUCCUUGAGCAUCAUCCUCUUGUUGAUAUGUUGUGUGCCCAGACAGACUAAAAUGGUGAUGGGAAUCCUAAAGUGGAUUCUAUGGCUGGCGGUGUUCUCGACGGCAUUAGCAUUCUCGACCGCCAUUGUGCGAAUAUUUUCCUAUCAGCUCUACACUGUCAUCCUUCUCAUGAGUUGGUUCGGAAUUCUCAGUCUCUUCAUGAUUUGGGUGUGCUUUAGAGCGAUCAGAGGCUUGUUGCGCAAAGGUGGAUGCUGGAAGAAGAAAGAUGGAGAAGGAGAAAGCCAGGGAGUCCCCACAAGGGCCGUUGCCAUCCGCACGAAGAUUGUGGUGGGCGCGUUGAUGAUAAUUAUCUUUGGAGUAGUUCUUAUUGUAAAUUAUUUAGUGUUUGUUUAUAUAUUAAAUAUGCCAAAUAAUAGAAUAAUAUGAUCUAUCAUUAUUCUUAUAUGGUUUAUCCUUUAUCAUCCUUUAAAGUUACUUUAUCUUAUUUUCAGAAUGUAAUUUGCUUUAAUCAUUAUUAACUUUGGUUUUGUUGUUACAGAUGAUUUAUUAGAGUUUUGUGGAACAUUAUAUCUCUUACAUAUUAAUGAUGUAUUUAUUUAAAAACACUGGAUUCAGCAAAUCUAAAACUAAUCAAUAGUACAAUGAUGCACUAAUAUAUUUAUAAAAUCUUAAAUAUCUGAAUCAUUAUCCAUACUUGAAUAAUUUAGAACCGACAUAAUAUUAAAUGGUGCAUAAAAGAUAACAAGGAUUUAAUGUAUAGAAUUAUCAAUUAUUAACAACUGUGUGCCUAUACUUAUGUUGCACUUCAAAAAAAACAUAAUUAAUCCUUCAUAAAUACUUUUUUUUUAUUAUAUGAAAGGAAUUUAGAAUAUCUUUUAUGUCUAAUUUGGAUUUUUUUCUGUAUCAACUAUAAUAUUUUUAUAUUAUUACUAUUUUUAUUUAAUUUUUUAGGAUAUUCAUUUUAUUUGGAAAAAUAAUGAAUGUAUUCUUCAAAUAUGUAUUAUGCAACCCCUCUGCUACAUGUUUUUAUUGUCAUCAACUCUUUCGGUGGUUAUUAUUAUUAUUAUUAUUAUUAUUCUUUUAAAGGCUGAUGUCACAAUUUAUUGUUCAAUUACAUUUAUUUUUUUCCUUUUCAUCAAGCUUUUAAAAUUUGUUCUACGAUGAAGAUGGAUUUACAACUAUAGACUUGUCAUAAGUUUUUUUUAUUUUUAUUAUAAAAAUAAGUAUUAAUUACUCUUAUAUAUGUUAUAUGUAUAGUAAUAUGGUUAAAUUCCCCAAAAAUCAAAAUUCAAUAUACAAAUUUAUAAUUUCAUAAUAAAAUUACAAGUUAUCAUCAAUUUCAAGUGAAAUUAGUAGGGAGAACCCACCUCAAUCAUAUAUCACAUGACUAUUAGCUCAGCAUAAAGAACAAACCUAUGUCAUAUGAUAGACACCUAAGUCCCACAAAAAAAGGCUUGUUAUAAAGAUUCUUCAAUUUACUAUUAUCAAUAUCAAUUACUGUUUACUCAUGAUUUCACUUUUUAUUUCAAUCUUAAUUUGAGUAUAGAUGGGAUUAGAUGAGACGCCCAACUUUAUCUUUUUUUACAUUGAUCAUCGAAUAAGCAAACAAGCAUUAGAGUCAUCCUUUUAGUUGUCUUUUUCUCUCAAGCAUGAUCACAAUUUUACUAUGCUUAAUCCGAGAUACGAUAACAGUUCCACCGACCCAUCCAUUCGAAGUCGAAGAAUCAUCCAUAUGACACAAAGGUUUUUUAAAUAUGUCAACCGUUUUAACCCUAAGUGUCAAAUAGGUGUUAAUUAUGUGACAUUGAUGAAUUGUGUCAAUCAUGUGAUAUGAAGGUAUAAUCCACAUGAUGCUAAAGUAUCGAUCAUAUCUUUAUUCCUAUAUUAUAUUUUAAUAUAUUUUAUUAAAUGACUCAGAUAACUUGAUUUAUAAAGAUUUUGACUCUUAAUCGGAAGAUUAUAUAUUCACAAUCAACUCAUGUAUUUUAAUGCCAUAAUAUUUUUAAAAAAUACUAUUGUAAAAAAUAGAAUGGAGGAAAAAAUGAAAAUAUAAAAAGUAUAAGCUUGAGUUUUUUCCCAUAAAUAUAUCCUCCUUUACGAAAGAUGAUGCCUAUGGUCCGAUCGCACUUGACGUAGAAUAAUAUUUAGCAGUUAAAAGUGGCACCCCUAAUAGUUCCAUGUUAGGAAUCCUAACGACAAGUCCACUAAAAGUCACUAAGCUAAGGUAAUUAAGAUAUUAAAGUGAUCAAACCACAAGCAUAUGCAUUGUUUUGUAUCUUUCUUUGCAAUCAUAAGAUAAUACAUUAUUUUAGUUAGGUUAGAAACUAAUCCAAAUCAAAUAUUAGGACAAUCUUUUUGCCUCUCAUGCAACCUUGAAUCAAUACCUCUUAUGGUCAAAGUCUUCAAAUAGACUUCGUACAAGUCAUUGUUAAUUGUUGGCCUCAUGUGAAGUGCUCUGACUCAUCAUGCAUGAACUUGAAUGGAUGAUAGAGCAACGAGGGAAUGAGACAUGCAUCUACAAUAAAAGAUUUGAGCAACGAGGGAAUGAGACAUGCAUCUACGAUAAAAGAUUUGGUUGACGUAAAGAGCCACCGAAUCAUGGUGACAUAGGUCGUAAGACUCGAGUCUAGUUGGAUAAUGACUCAUACGUAAAUUAGAUAUUUGGUCUCCAUACCCAACUAAUUAGAUCGAAUUAAGGUGUUUUAUAAGCUAAUAAUGCAAUAAUACAUCCUUUGAGCUUCAUCUUUUCAGUCGCUUAAAAAUAUUUCUUCUUUAUCCAAACUUUAUAUACUCCUUGAAACUCUGAAAUCUAACCUAAUAAUGCAAUAAUACAUUCUUCGAGCUUCAUCAUUCGAUUCACUUAAAAAUAUUUCUUCUUCGAGUCAAACUUUAUAUUCUUCUUAUAACUUUGAAACCUUCUUAUGCAAUACAAGCGAAGACUAACAUCGAGAGACUAUGGGGCUAUGAAAACUUCAUAACUAAUUUAGAUUUCAUAUUCUCCAAAGACUAAUGUUGAAAAUAUAUUUAAUAGAGUCCUUCAAUACUUAACAUACAUCUUUAAAUAUCUAAGAUAAGAGAAAGAAGCAAAAAUAAAUUGAUAGCUCGAAUUCUAGAUGAUUGGAUGAAUGUUUUACGUUACAAUCCAUAGUAACAUGACAAUGUUUUUUGUUCUUAGCCUAUUGACUCCGAACAAGAAAGUUGAUGAUUGGUAAACAAAGAAAAUUAUGAAAUCAUAAAGAAUUCAUCUUUCAUUUUCGUUGCCAUCUUAAUGGAAAACUAUGCAUCAACUUCUGGGAAAGAAAAGAUUAGAACUUUGUGAUGUUAGGUAGAAAGCCACAGUGAGGACUUACAAGACCAAUUUGGCACCACAAGCUAUUGGUCAUUGUCUAUAUCAUGCAAGGACAUGAGGAGGAACAUCUAGAAUAGGAAGUUGGACCACUGAACAACUUUCUAUCUUGUGGUUUCCAUGGAUUCUUUUACUUAUGAUUAAUAAUUCCAUUUCCUAAAGUUAGAUGCCUCUUCAUUGAUUUCAAUUAAUGGUAGCUGCUUUUUGACUUGCUCAUUUUUGCAAGUCAUGGGACCUAUGUCAUAUGAUGUACUCAUGCGCCAAAGCUUCUUCCAAAACGAAGGAGAGUAAUCUUUUUUCUGUCUUUUUCUCCUUUUUUUUUUGGAAUUAAGAUAUUCUUAUAAUUUUUCUCUACGUUGGUGUAGUUUUUCUUUCUCAAAAGAAGCAAUUAUACCUCCUAAUUUGAUUUAGGGUUUCACUUAAAAGGGUAAGACUGUAGGCUAUUAAAACUCACUAUCAGCUGAAUCUGAUGGGUUGUCAGCCCGUCAGCCCAACAGUUUAUGCAUCUCUGUACCUUCUGAGACGAGAACUUUCUCAUAGCAAAAGAUAAAUACUCUUUGCGUUUCAUUCAAAAAAAGCUAGUGGAAAUACUAAGGAACUUCCUGUUCAUAACUCUGGUAAUACUAUUGAAUGUAGAACGUGAAGUUGCUUCUGGGACGGCGAGGUAUCGAAGCUAACGCCACAAACAUGAUAUGCUACUGGAUUCACCCUGCAAACAUGGAGAUCUAUUGUUGGGAGAACUGAUUCGGGCAGCAGGUGGAAGAACCGCCGCAGAAGAAGGGAAGACUCAGCCGAAAUCGUCACCGAGCGAUGCCAGAAGCCGACCAAAUCGUUGGUGAUACGGCAUAUUUUGGCGCCCAAGACAUGCUAAGUCAGAAUCCGUACUAAGGCACUACUCGACCUCGGAAACCCCAAGGCGACACCGUCCUUGAUAUGCUACUGGAUUCACCCGUCGCCUCACACAGAAGCCGACCAAAUCGUUGGUGAUACGACAUAUUUUGGCGCCCAAGACACGCUAAGUCAGAAUCCGUAGCACUACUCGACCUCGGAAACCCCAAGACGACGCCGCCCCCGAGACACGCCAAGUCAGAAUCCAUACUAAGGCACUGCUAGACACGUCCACCACGCCAACCUACGUACGACUGACCCACGUACAGUAAUAUAAAGACCUCUAGCCAGUAUCUGGCAGGGGAAGGAAAAAAUCAAUGGAUCACUCCACUGACUUGCUCAUCAGAGGGGCCUCAUCAGGUGAUCCUGACGAGAGCCAUUUUUGUAGGAAAACGUGGUCACCUCACGAAGACGAGCUGCCAGCCACCCUGGAGAGGGAGAGACGUAGCUCGGCAUACACAGUGCCCGGAUCGGCACACCAAGGAACGCUGAUCCACACAUCGUCACGAGGGCCUGGUCGACCUCGACAUCCAGCUCAGCCAACAGAAGACUCCCGACAUCGACCAGUGAACCAGGCUGUGCUGACUCACUAGUCACGACACAUUUGUUCACUAACAUUUUGGUGCUAGAAGGAGGGCAUGUCGCAUGAGCAUCCCGCGGGAGCUAUCCCCGAGGGAGAACCACUGGCCGGUCACCCUUUUGUCGGGCCCGGAGAUCAGCCCCUCCCCAUCCUUCGAGAUGGGGGGGAUCCCGGUCUCGACGCUAGAUCAUUGCUGGCGCCCGAGACCAGGUCGGGACAGGAGAAGCCCAAGACCAAAUGAUGGACCCGAGAGGUCCGCCCGAGCAGAGCAUACCCACACAUUGCCGAGUCACACUACCCCACUUCGAGCCUGACACUGUAUCAUCUGACUCGACGGACGACUCGCUUAGGGCCCAAUUGUCCUGGGUCAACCAACGUCUGGACGUGUUCCAGCGUGAGUUUCGAAAAUCGCAAGGCGAGUCCAGCGAAGGUGACUCGGGCGAGUCCCCUUUCACUUAGGAAAUAUAGGGUAAGCCGGUACCUCUCAACUUCAGCCUACCGACAUUGGAGACAUACGAUGACAGCUCUGAUCCCAUGGAUCCAAUGCCGAGUUGCAUCUCGGCCAAUCCAACGCCCGAGUCGUAUCUCGGUCAACCCAACGCCUAAGUCACAUCUCGGCCAAUCCAACGCUCGAGUCGCAUCUCGGCCAACCCAACGCCCGAGUCACAUCUUGGCCAAAUCCAGCAUCUGAGCCAUGCAUCUCGACCAAUCCAACACCCGAGUCUACUCUCGGCCAAAUCUAGCAUCCGAGCCACACACCUUGGCCAUCCAAUGCCCGAGCCAUGCAUCUCGGCCGAUCCAACGCCCGAGUCGCAUCUCAUCCAAAUCCAACGUCCGAGCCACACACCUCGGCCAAUCCAACGGCCAAGCCAUGCCUUAAUCGCACCUCGGCCAAUCCAACGCCCGAGCCAUGCCUCAGUACACCUCGGCCAAUCCAACACCUAAGCCAUGCCUCAGUCGCAUCUCAGCCAAUCUAACUCCCAAGCCAUGCCUUGCCAGACUAGUCCAUUAUCCGAGUUGCCCCAUGUCAAUCCCCAACUCACUACUCGUCAAAUCUCAAACCGAGUCACUCUAGCUCGCUCGCCAACUUGCAAACUCGGCAGCCGUAACUCUGGGCCGUGCCAAACCCGUUAUCCGACCUACGACACGUCAGUUUCGCCUCAUCGGUUUUGCCUCAUCAGGCUCCUGCCGCCCGAUCAGCAGAGUCAAUCCUGCCCAAAGCACGAGGCGUUGUCCCUCUAAAUUGCCCCACGAUGAGUUAAUCCAACUUCCCCUCAUGAGCCAUUAGCCUCACUCCGACCCAAGCAUGCCGCCCAACCCUUUAAGGACCCUACGACACGCCUUAGAGGGGGGGAGAAGUGAUACGAUAUAAUUUGGCCCCCAAGACACGCCAGGUCAGAAUCUGUACUAAUGCAAUGCUCGGCCUUGGGAACCCCGAGACGACGUCGCUCCCAAGACACGUCAGGUCAGAAUCUAUGCUAAGGCACUGCUUGGCACGUCCACCACGCCAACUUGCGUACGAUCGACCCACAUACAGUAAUAUAAAGACCUCUAGCUAGGUGGGGAGGAGGUAAAAAACAAAUCAAUCGGUCACUCGACUGACUUGCUCGUUGGAGGGGCCUCGUCGGGUGAUCCCGACGAGGGCCAUUUUUGUAGGAAAAGGUGGCCACCUCAAGAAGACGAACUGCCAACCACUCGAGAAUCGUCGUCCAGUGCACGAAGGAGAGCAGCCAACCAGCCCGGAUCUCGACUAACGCCAACCAGCACCCCUUCCCGAGGGCGCCGCCACCUCACGAAGACGAGCUGCCAACCACUCCGGAGAAAGAGAGACGCGGCUCGACAUACACAACGCCCGAAUCAGCACACCAAGGAACGAUGAUCAACACUCCGUCGUGAGGGCCCGGUCGACCUCGGCAUCCAGCUCAGUCGAUAGAAGACUCCUGACAUCGACCCGUGGACCGGGUCGUGCUGACUCAUCAGCGACAACACUUUUUUUCAUAACAGGUGUGCUUUUGAGCGAUCAGGUGCUUGUUGCGCAAAGGUGGAUGCCGGAAGAAGAAAGAUAGAGAAGGAGAAAACCAUGGAGGCCCCAGAACGGGUGUUGCCAUCUGCACGAAGAUUGUGGUGAGCAUGUUGAUUAUAAUUCUUUUAAGAAUAUUUUUUUAUAAAUUUAUUAGUGUUUAUGUACAUAAGAAAAGGAUCAAUAAUAGAAUAAUAUGACAUCAUUAUUCUUAUAUGGUUUAUCCUUUAUCAUCUUUUAAAGUUACUUUAUCUUAUUUUCAGAAUGUAAUUUGCUUUUCUGUUUUUUUUUCCACGGUAUAUAGUUAGUAAAUCUGUAACUUUAAUCAUUAUUAACUUUUGCUUUGUUGUUACAGAUGAUUUAUGAGAAUUUUGUGGAACAUUAUAUCUCUUACAUAUUAAUGAUGCAUUUAAAAACACUGGAUUCAAAUCUAAAACUUGAUUAGUACAAUGAUGCACUAAUAUAUUUAUAAAAUCUUAAAUAUCUGAAUCAUUAUCCAGACUUGAAUCAAUUAGAAUCAAUUAGAAGCCGAUCAAAUCGUUGGCACCCCUUCCGACGCCAGGCUAGACCUUCUAAGGAUGACCGCAGCCCCCGAAAAGUAUGGUCUGAACUUAAAAGAAAGGUACAACAACAAACCAGCAACACUAAUGGUGGUGGCGACGUUGAUCUUGAUGGGAUUUCAAGUGAAGGGGAGGCAGUUCUAAAACAUGGUCUCAAGUUAUUCCUUCUGUUCGACAUGUUCGGGUUGUUUGCAUCCUUGAGCAUCAUCCUCUUGUUGAUAUGUUGUGUGCCCAGACAGACUAAAAUGGUGACGGGAAUCCUAAAGUGGAUUUUAUGGCUGGCGGUGUUCUCGACGGCAUUAGCAUUCUCGACCGCCAUUGUGCGAAUAUUUUCUAAUCCGCCCUACACUGGCAUCCUUCUCCUGAGCUGGUUCGGAAUCCUCAGUCUCUUCAUGGUUUGGGUGUGCUUUAGAGCGAUCAGGUGCUUGUUGCGCGAAGGCGGAUGCUGGAAGAAGAAAGAUGGAGAAGGAGAAAGCCACGGAGGCCCCAGAAGGGCCGUUGCCAUCUGCACGAAGACUGUGGUGGGCGUGUUGAUAAUAAUUCUUUUAGGAGUAUUUUCUAUUGUAAAUUAUUUACUGUUUGUUUAUAUAGCGACAAGGUCAAAUAAUAGAAUAAUAUGACCUAUUAUUAUUCUUAUAUGGUUUAUCCUUUAUCAUGUUUUAAAGUUACUUUAUCUUAUUUUCAGAAUGUAAAUUGCUUUUCUGUAAACUUGUUCCUGUACGUCAUCUUCUAUAUAAAAAUUAAUGGAAGUUCAUUUUAGUGUGUUUUCCAUUUGCUUUUCUGUAAACUUGUUCCUGUACGUCAUCAACGUCAAUCCUGACAUACUUUUUUUUGUUUUGCAAGAAAGGAAAAAAAUUAUUUAUUAGAUAGCAUGGGUACAAAAGUCACCUUAAAGAUAUGAGAUAAUAAUCAAAAAAAGAAAAGUUCUGAGAGUCACUCUCCUCACCUAAAAAUAGUAAUUAGAUGCACUCGGCAAGCCCCAUAGUCCCACAUCGAGAAAAUCAAGUUUGAUAUCUCCUGUUUAAACUAUAAAUAAGGGCCUAGGCUUUGAAGUCAAAUGCACCACAAGUGGCAUCAUAAGAAAACCUAAGUAUUUGCUUUGGUUUUAAGUCCACACUCAGUUAAAUAGUUUGGGCUUAUUGAUGAGGUUUUUCUUGUUUAGUAUUUUUGGGUGUUUUAUGGCCUAGGAACAUCUUCCUAAGGCACCGUACUACGUAAAUCUGAUGUUCUUGUCGCUUUUAUCUUUUUGCUUUAUUUUCUUUGUUGUGUUGUCAAAAUUAUCUUGUGGUAAAUUUUCUAUUUUCUAGGGCUAGCUCUAAUAGUUGGCUCCUCUAUUAUAUUCAUGUUAUACAUGUGUGAUCAAGAAAGAGUGAAACAUCUUAACAAUAGCAAAAUCUCAUCAAGAUGCUCUAAGAAAAUUGAGAUGUGCCACUUAGGAUGUCCACAAAGCACUUAAAAUCAGUUUCAAUAUCAAUACGAUUAAAACCAUCGAAUAAGAUUUUAGAGAGUGUAUGAUGAAUAGUUGCUGGUUCAUCAGCACUUAAAAUGACGAUUAGAAGAGAAUGCUCCAUCUCCUCCAAUAUAUGCAACUAGAAAAAAGAACACCACUAGUAUUAAGAUGAAAAAACUGGUACCCUCCUUGUCAUAUUGAUUGAAAGAGCUAUCACAGUUUAAUUUUAGCCACCUAAAUUAAGACCUAGUUCAAGAGAUCGUUUCAUAGAAACUUUAGAAUGAUCCUAUAAUAAUAAAAAAAAAAUUAUCCUAACAAAGAUAGUAUUAGAAGAAGCUUUGAGUUGCUAAAAGAUCCAAUUUGAAGGAGGAAAAGAGGAAGAGAAGUGUGAUUUUGANNNNNNNNNNNNNNNNNNNNCACAAAUAGCUUCCAACACUAACUAGAGUUGAAAGGGGAAGGGGCACUCUAAGAUUGGAUAGUGCCAUACUUAGCAUAAGCAACCUUGACCCAAACGAUAUCAGCACUAUUAGGAAGAUAAAAAAAUUCUUUUGACAUGCAAUGCAUAUUUGGUUAUGUGCAUGUCCUUGAUGCCCAAGCCACUAAUGAACUUAGGCAAAGUGAUGGUGUCCCAAGAAAGCAAGUAAAGAGACCUUUAGAGUUGUCAUGGUUGGACCAAAGGAAUAUGUGGGUUAAUGAAGAGAUUUUAUUAAUAACAGUAGAAGGAGACACUUAAGGAGUGUAUAGGGAUGGAGUUUAAGUACAAAUUAAUCAAGGUGACACAACCAGCUUGUGAUAGAAGGGAGCCUUGCCAUUUACCAAACUUGCUGGUAAUCGGUUGAAUGAUACUAUUUAUACUAGAAAUCGAAAUGUGAGAAGGGACAAUCCAAAUAUUCACAAUAAAUGAAAGAUUUCGACUGCUAAUAUAUUGAUAAACAUUUCUUCAGCGGAUCAUUGAAAUGGAGACGCCCUGUGUAGAUUUUUUGUUCCGCUCCCAUCUUUCUUUCGCUGAAACUACUUGGAAAGGGAUGAUGGAGCCAUGUCGGCUUGUCCCGAAGCGUGGAUGAUUUUUUUUUCUUCUUUUGAAAAGUAAAGAAGAUUAUAUUAGAUCAGCUAAAGCUGCAAAAUCCGAAGAGGUCAAAGUCGUCCAACGAAGACGAGAACAAAAAAAGGUGAUUAUUCAUCCAAAAAAAAUUAGCAUGGUCGUAAGCGACAAGAUCGAGAAAGCGAUCAAAAUAUUUAAACCGGACAACUUGAAGGAAACCGACGACCGGGAUAAUGGUGUGGAGACCCACGAGUCUCGCUGUUAGGGUUGAAGAAGUUGAUCAGCCGGACAGGACACCAAGGUGAUGUUACGUUAAAGCGUUCAGCAUGCAGUCCCGUGAGCACCGCAAUCCAAUCCGAUGAAAUGAUGACUUCGGCAAAAACAUCCAUCCAAUUUUUAUCCGAACAAUUGCGCACGCUGUUGCUAUCCCACUCGCCGUUCGGCUUUCGUCUCCCUCGCUGCGUUUCCAACGCAUCGAUUCCUUGGGAUAAGUUAUUUAAACGGGACUGCAGUGGCCACUGUGAGCUCGAUGACCAAGUCGUCUCUUUGGCGUCUGGUGAGGACAGGCUGUACAAGAAGGAGGAACUGCUCCAAUCACAAGCCUCCAUAUCGAUUUAUCUGCAAGCUUGUUUUCAUUCAUCCAUCCCUCCCUCCCUCCUGAUGUAUCAUCAGCCAGAUGGAAGGAUAGGGUGUUGAUGAGGUAUGUUUCGCUGAAACUAAUUAAAAAUUUAAGUGAAGAUAGGUUUUAGGAAGAUAUUAUUGUAAUUAGAAGAAAAGUUAGGAAAAGCUAUAUCAUAAGUCCAUCAUGUUUCGUCAACAUUCUCAAACACAAAUACCGCACGUCGACUGUCCCAGUCUCGCUUCAUUCUCUAGGUAGUUUCGGCGAACGAGAAAGCAAGCUGAGCAAAAGUAUUCUGCGAAGUCCAGACCAAUGGGAUGCAAGACGAGAAGAAGCAGCUUACGUUUUGGAGACGACUUGGUCAACAAGGCCGGCGUCUUGAUGGAGACUGGACCAAGAAGACCGAGCGGGAGGAAUCGUUAGAGAUUUUUAGCCUAUAUAUAGGCGUCCUAACUUCGAGUUGUUUGUGACCAAAUCGAGAGAGAGAGAGAGAGUGUGUGUGUGUGUAACUAAGCAUGGAUCCGAGACUAGAGGAAGCAGCUUAUGCGGGAGACCUCACUUUGUUGCGGCGUUUGCUACAAGAAGACCGGCUCCUGCUCCACAGGCAAGCCAUCGCCGCGGCUCACCUGUCGGACAGCCCCCUCCACAUCGCUGCAUCGCUCGGACACUCCGACCUGGUCCGGGAGAUCCUCACCGUAAACCCGGAGCUCGCGCAUGGCCGCAACCGCGAAGGCCUUUCCACCUUGCACCUGGCCGCUGCCCAAGGCCACUUAUCCGUGGUGAAAGAGCUGCUGCAGUACGCAGCCGCUGCCAAUCUCUGCUUGGCGACCGACAACGAUGGCUUAAUGCCGGCCCACACUGCAGCCUUACGAGGCAGGCUUGAUGUAUUGACUGUGUUACUGGAUGCGUGCCCGGAGUCCGCGCGAGCUGUGACAUCGCAAGGUGACUCCAUCCUUCAUAUUUCUGUGAAAUCAAACAGCUUCGAGACCGUGCAGUUCUUGCUGAACAGAGCUGGUGAAAACGAUGAGCUGCUCAACUCCGGAGAUGCGAAAGGCAACACCGUCCUGCACCUUGCUGUGGCCAGAAAACAGCUCCGGGUAGGUAUUCCUGAUCCCAAUUAGAGGAAAUGAAUUUGUCUUCUUCUUUUCACCAGGUCUUUAUGCAUCUCUGCACCUCCUGAUACGAGAGCUUUCUCACAACAAAAGAUAAAUACUAUUUGCAUUUCAUUCAUAAAAAAUCAAAUGGAAAUACCGAGGAACUUCCUGUUCAUAGCUCUGGCAAUACGAUUGAAUGCAGACCGUGAAGUUGCUUCUGGGAAGACGAGGUAUCGAAGUUAACGCCACAAACAUGAGAGGCGACACCGUCCUUGAUAUGCUAUUGGAUUCACCCUGCCAACAUGGAGAUCUAUUGUUGGGAGAACUGAUUCGGGCAGCAGGUGGAAGAACCGCCGCAGAAGAAGGGAAGACUCAGCCGAAAUCGUCACCGAGCGAUGCCAGAGCCUCUGCCACUGUCGCGUCACACAGAAGCCGACCAAAUCGUUGGCACCCCUUCCGACGUCAGGCUCGACCUUCUAAGGAUGACUGCAGCCCCCGAAAAGUAUGGUCUGAAUCUAAAGAAAGGUACAACAACAAACCAGCAACACUAAUGGUGGUGGCGACGUUGAUCGCCACCAUCACAUUCGAAGCUGGGCUGAACCCCCCUGAUGGGGUUAAGCAGAAAGAUGAUGGGAGUUCAAGUGAAAGGGAGGCAGUCAAGUUAUUCCUACUGUUCGACAUGUUCGGGUUGUUUGC